rnacentral:misc_RNA from 1 species
GAUGAAGAACGUAGCGAAAUGCGAUAAGUAAUGUGAAUUGCAGAAUUCAGUGAAUCAUCGAAUCUUUGAACGCACAUUGCGCCCGCCAGUAUUCUGGCGGGCAUGCCUGUCUGAGCGUCAUUUCAACCCUCAUGCCCCUAGGGCGUGGUAUUGGGGAUCGGCCAAAGCCCGCGAGGGACGGCCGGCCCCUAAAUCUAGUGGCGGACCCGUCGUGGCCUCCUCUGCGAAGUAGUGAUAUUCCGCAUCGGAGAGCGAUGAGCCCCUGCCGUUAAACCCCCAACUUUCCAAGGUUGACCUCAGAUCAGGUAGGAAUACCCGCUGAACUUAAGCAUAUCAAUAAGCGGAGGA